rnacentral:rRNA from 1 species
GACGAACGCUGGCGGCGUGCCUAAUACAUGCAAGUAGAACGCUGAAGAGAGGAGCUUACUCUUCUUGGAUGAGUUGCGAACGGGUGAGUAACGCGUAGGUAACCUGCCUUGUAGCGGGGGAUAACUAUUGGAAACGAUAGCUAAUACCGCAUAACAAUGGAUGACACAUGUCAUUUAUUUGAAAGGGGCAAUUGCUCCACUACAAGAUGGACCUGCGUUGUAUUAGCUAGUAGGUGAGGUAAUGGCUCACCUAGGCGACGAUACAUAGCCGACCUGAGAGGGUGAUCGGCCACACUGGGACUGAGGCACGGCCCAGACUCCUACGGGAGGCAGCAGUAGGGAAUCUUCGGCAAAGGGGGCAACCCUGACCGAGCAACGCCGCGUGAGUGAAGAAGGUUUUCGGAUCGUAAAGCUCUGUUGUAAGUCAAGAACGGGUGUGAGAGUGGAAAGUUCACACUGUGACGGUAGCUUACCAGAAAGGGACGGCUAACUACGU